rnacentral:ribozyme from 1 species
GUUAGGUGAGGUUUGCAAUGGGAUGGGAUCCGAAGCCCUCCGAGGGAAAAUAUAGGCUCUCCCAUCCAACUCCUAUUCCGACACGUCCUUGCCGUGCAGAGUGGUAACAUGUGUCACUACAUAUCUAAGCUUGGGUACACGGGCUUGACCCAACCCCUUGGGCGGAUGGUGGCAUAUGGCGAAGCAGGAGGGG